AACGAACGCUGGCGGCAUGCCUAACACAUGCAAGUCGAACGAGACCUUCGGGUCUAGUGGCGCACGGGUGCGUAACGCGUGGGAACCUGCCCUUAGGUUCGGAAUAACUCCCCGAAAGGGGUGCUAAUACCGGAUAAUGUCUUCGGACCAAAGAUUUAUCGCCUUUGGAUGGGCCCGCGUUGGAUUAGCUAGUUGGUAGGGUAAAAGCCUACCAAGGCGACGAUCCAUAGCUGGUCUGAGAGGAUGAUCAGCCACACUGGGACUGAGACACGGCCCAGACUCCUACGGGAGGCAGCAGUGGGGAAUAUUAGACAAUGGGCGAAAGCCUGAUCCAGCAAAGCCGCGUGAGUGAUGAAGGCCUUAGGGUUGUAAAGCUCUUUUACCCGGGAUGAUAAUGACAGUACCGGGAGAAUAAGCUCCGGCUAACUCCGUG
rnacentral:rRNA from 1 species